ACAGCUCCUUCGCCAGUACCAUGUCUGCCUGUAUGGCAUCAUGUUCACUAUCAUGAUGAUUAAGGACUAAACCAUUGAAACUGUAAGCUGCCUCUUCAAUGAAAUGUUUUCCUUCAUAAGAGUUGCCUUGGCCAUGGUGUCGAUUCACAGCAAUGGAAACCCUAACUAAGAUAGUCUUGUUAUGCUCUGAGGAUAAAAACCCAUUCUACCCCUUCCCUAGCUCUUAACAUUCUUUUUGUUCCCCUUCUGCAGUGUUUGGUGAGGCUGAGAGAGUGAUAUAGAGGCUCCAUCUAGGGCUGAACAUUCAAUAAUCAGGUGUAUGGAGUAUAAGACCAGGAUGCUAGACAAUGUUCUUCAUGACCCAUCUGGCCUGCUCAUUCUGGAGUUCUGCCUUGGGGCUGCCAGGCAUCUUCCUACUCCUCACAGACUUGGCAGGGAUAGCUUUCGCUACUUGGCCUGGCACAAGGCCAAGGGGAACAAAGCCAUGCUCUGCUGGAAUUAGUUCCUGGGGUCUGACAGGCUCUGGCUGUCACCAUGGCUCCCACCUCUCUAGAAACGGCUCCAAUCAGGGUGAAGUCUCCAC
rnacentral:lncRNA from 1 species